UACGGAGGGUGCAAGCGUUAAUCGGAUUUACUGGGCGUAAAGGGUGCGUAGGCGGCGAUUUAAGUCAGAUGUGAAAUACCUGGGCUCAACCUGGGAACUGCAUUUGAAACUGGAUUGCUAGAGUAUGGUAGAGGGUAGCGGAGUUUCUGGUGUAGCGGUGAAAUGCGUAGAUAUCAGAAGGAACAUCAAUGGCGAAGGCAGCUACCUGGGCCAAUACUGACGCUGAGGCACGAAAGCGUGGGGAGCAAACAGG
rnacentral:rRNA from 1 species